rnacentral:rRNA from 1 species
GAUGAACGCUGGCGGCGUGCCUAAUACAUGCAAGUCGAGCGAACAGACGAGGAGCUUGCUCCUCUGACGUUAGCGGCGGACGGGUGAGUAACACGUGGAUAACCUACCUAUAAGACUGGGAUAACUUCGGGAAACCGGAGCUAAUACCGGAUAAUAUAUUGAACCGCAUGGUUCAAUAGUGAAAGACGGUUUUGCUGUCACUUAUAGAUGGAUCCGCGCCGCAUUAGCUAGUUGGUAAGGUAACGGCUUACCAAGGCAACGAUGCGUAGCCGACCUGAGAGGGGAGCGGCCCACACUGGACCUGAGACAGGUCCCAGCCCCCUCCGGGGGGAACCAGUAGGAAUUCUUCCGAAAGGGCCGAAGGCCUGACGGGCCAACGCCGGUGGAGUAAUAAAGUUUUUGGUAUCUAAAACCUCUUUUUUUGGGGAAAAAAAAUUGUGAAAGUAACUAUCCCCGUCUUGAGGUACCCUAAUAAGAAAGCCACGCCAACCUACGUC